CACAUGCAGUUGACGGGAACAUACGAUAGCUUGCUAUAGUAUGUGAGAGUGGCGCACGGGUGAGUAAUACAUGGGAACAUACCUUAAAGUGGGGGAUAACUUCUGGAAACGGAUGCUAAUACCGCAUAUACCCUGAGGGGGAAAGAUUUAUCGCUUUAAGAUUGGCCCAUGGCAGAUUAGGUAGUUGGUGGGGUAAAGGCCUACCAAGCCGACGAUCUGUAGCUGGUCUGAGAGGACGAUCAGCCACAUUGGGACUGAGACACGGCCCAGACUCCUACGGGAGGCAGCAGUGAGGAAUAUUGGGCAAUGGGGGCAACCCUGACCCAGCCAUGCCGCGUGAGUGAAGAAGGUUUUCGAAUUGUAAAGCUCUUUCGGAUGUGACGAUGAUGACGGUAGCAUCUAAAGAAGCCCCGGCAAACUUCGUGCCAGCAGCCGCGGUAAUACGAAGGGGGCGAGCGUUGUUCGGAAUUACUGGGCGUAAAGGGUGUGUAGGUGGACGUGUAAGAUAGCGGUGAAAUGCCGGAGCUCAACUUCGGAAUUGCCAUUAUAACUAUGCGUCUAGAAUUAUAGAGAGGAUAGCGGAAUACCCAGUGUAGAGGUGAAAUUCGUAGAUAUUGGGUAGAACACCAGUGGCGAAGGCGGCUAUCUGGCUAUAUAUUGACACUGAGGCACGAAAGCAUGGGGAUCAAACAGGAUUAGAUACCCUGGUAGU
rnacentral:rRNA from 1 species